AUGGGCAAUAAAUCCACAAAACCUGAAUUAACACCUGACGAAUUGUGGAUGGAGAAAAAGCACCCAGGUGCAGGUAGAAUAAGUGCAAAUAGAUGGAGAGACCCAGAAAAACCUACUUGCACAACCUGGGACGGGAAUGGCAACCCCGCCCCAGUACAGGAACUACACAAAUGCCUGCAGAAAGAGAUAGAACAAACUAGUGGUAAGGAAAAGGAUUUAAGAAUGUCUGAAUACGUAAAAUUUUUCAUGCCCUGGCAGGAGGAGAGCAAAAGGCGUGGGGAUAAGAGAAAGGUGAAGCAAAACAAACAGAGUGAAAAGCCACCCACUGAAAUAGUAAACCCCCCUCCUUAUCAGCCGCCUCCUCCUGCCUCAGCCCCACCAGAUAGUGAGCAGCAGCCUCAACCUUGUCCUCCAAUCUCAAAAAACCCCUUUGUGAAAUCACAAGACCCCUAUGCUGCAGCUAGGCAACAGCUUAAUUCAACCACACAUAUAAACCCACCUACUUCCGGGUUUCCGCCACCGCUGUUCCCACCCACACUGGGUCAAUUUCCUUUAAUCCAGGUACCAAAUCCCAAUUACGGCCGAGCCACUGGCCCUGCGGGUGAAGACGGUGUGAUCCCCAGAGACCAGUUGACAUUUACAUAUACAUAUCAGCCGUGGACAGCUGAGGAUCGUAAAAAUGUGUUAAAAGAUGUCCCUCCUUUAAACGAGGGGCACCACCAGUGGAGGAAUGCGGUAGACAUAAUACGCUCUGAUUGGCACCUGAAUGGCACUCCUGAAAUCCCUCAAUCAAGAGUUCUUGCUCUGCUGCCGAAAAAUACUGAGCGCGCUCCUUCGACAUCUUCGCCGACCAAUCACAGGGUUGCCGAUCAAUGUUUCUACUAUCGAUGCGUAGCCCCUUUUAAGCCACCCAGUGAUCUCAGAUUACUUCAUCCAGCUGUACUAAUCGUCAACAACAGGUGUGUUCGGAGAACCGGAUUAGCGAGCUCAAAGUUAGCGCGAUGA
rnacentral:lncRNA from 1 species